UCAUCUAGCUAUCAUAAGAGAAAUCCUGAUGCAGUUACAGUCAUGACAUAAAUCUGGUCUAACAUAUUGGGACAGCAUUGCAAAACUGAGGAUAAAAACGGUUCCACAUGGAUUCACUCCUCAUGCUUGGAAUGGAAGUCCUAACACAGCAUUAGAACAAGAAAGGACUGUCUGCGAUCCAUCAUUGCCCAGUUGUUUUAUCGUCACAAAAUACUGGACCUGGAGAAACAAGGGCAGAACUUCCUCAUAUUUGCUUACCAGCCUGAGAUUGAUAAAGUCACAGGGCAGCCAUUUCACGAAAGAGAAGACCACAGUCAUGUGUUAAAGAGGAUAGCUAGUCACACAAGAAGUGGUGGUCCAAAGGGUUGUCACCUGGAGAGAUUGCAAGAAGCAAUGGAAUCGCCAGAGACAUGUCUAACCUACGUGGCGCUUUCAGGGCAAAGGAAGCAAAACAUAGAAGAUGCCGAAAGAAUCUUUUCUAAGUCUGUUGCCCAGUAUCUAAGACAAAGAGGUUACACAAACGAGGCUGUUUAUGUGCAAACAGUGUGCAAUUGGCAUGUUGCUUCUGAUGGAUGAGGAAUAUCACAGCUAAAACGAUGCAAAUACAAUUAUGAGACGCUUCAUUAUGUCUUGGAUG